CGACCUCAGGUCAGGCGCGAUCACCCGCUGAGCUUAA
rnacentral:rRNA from 1 species